GACGAACGCUGGCGGCGUGCUUAACACAUGCAAGUCGAACGAUGAAGCCGGAGCUUGCUCUGGUGAAUUAGUGGCGAACGGGUGAGUAACACGUGAGUAACCUGCCCUUGACUCUGGGAUAACUGCGGGAAACUGUAGCUAAUACCGGAUACGACCCUCGGAGGCAUCUCCUGGGGGUGGAAAGAAUUUCGGUCAAGGAUGGACUCGCGGCCUAUCAGCUAGUUGGUGAGGUAACGGCUCACCAAGGCGACGACGGGUAGCCGGCCUGAGAGGGUGAGCGGCCACACUGGGACUGGGACACGGCCCAGACUCCUACGGGAGGCAGCAGUGGGGAAUAUUGCACAAUGGGCGCAAGCCUGAUGCAGCAACGCCGCGUGAGGGAUGACGGCCUUCGGGUUGUAGACCUCUUUUAGUAGGGAAGAAGCGAAAGUGACGGUACCUGCAGAAAAAGCACCGGCUAACUACGUGCCAGCCGCCGCGGUAA
rnacentral:rRNA from 1 species